rnacentral:rRNA from 1 species
GAUGAACGCUGGCGGCGUGCCUAAUACAUGCCAGUCGAGCGAACAGACGAGGAGCUUGCUCCUCUGACGUUAGCGGCGGAAGGGUGAGUAACACGUGGAUAACCUACCUAUAAGACUGGGAUAACUUCGGGAAACCGGAGCUAAUACCGGAUAAUAUAUUGAACCGCAUGGUUCAAUAGUGAAAGACGGUUUUGCUGUCACUUAUAGAUGGAUCCGCGCCGCAUUAGCUAGUUGGUAAGGUAACGGCUUACCAAGGCAACGAUGCGUAGCCGACCUGAGAGGGUGAUCGGCCACACUGGAACUGAGACACGGUCCAGACUCCUACGGGAGGCAGCAGUAGGGAAUCUUCCGCAAUGGGCGAAAGCUUGACGGAGCAACGCCGCGUGAGUGAUGAAGGUCUUCGGAUCGUAAAACUCUGUUAUUAGGGAAGAACAAAUGUGUAAGUAACUAUGCACGUCUUGACGGUACCUAAUCAGAAAGCCACGGCUAACUACGUG